GACGAACGCUGGCGGCGUGCUUAACACAUGCAAGUCGAGCGAGGCCCCUCCUUCGGGAGGGUGUCCUAGCGGCGAACGGGUGAGUAACACGUGGGCAAUCUGCCCCUAGCUCUGGGAUAACCCCGGGAAACCGGGGCUAAUACCGGAUACGACUUCAGAGGGCAUCCUCCGAAGUGGAAAGGGUUUACUGGCUAGGGAUGAGCCCGCGGCCUAUCAGCUUGUUGGUGGGGGUAAUAGCCUACCAAGGCGACGACGGGUAGCCGGCCUGAGAGGGCGACCGGCCACACUGGGACUGAGACACGGCCCAGACUCCUACGGGAGGCAGCAGUGGGGAGUAUUGCACAAUGGGCGAAAGCCUGAUGCAGCGACGCCGCGUGAGGGAUGAC
rnacentral:rRNA from 1 species